UACGUAGGUGGCAAGCGUUGUCCGGAAUUACUGGGCGUAAAGCGCGCGCAGGCGGCUAUCCAAGUCAGUGGUGAAAGCCCGGAGCUCAACUCCGGAACUGCCAUUGAAACUGUUUAGCUUGAGGAUGAGAGAGGUGAGUGGAAUUCCCAGUGUAGAGGUGAAAUUCGUAGAUAUUGGGAAGAACACCGGUGGCGAAGGCGGCUCACUGGCUCAUUACUGACGCUCAGGCGCGAUAGCGUGGGGAUCAAACAGG
rnacentral:rRNA from 1 species